CCCGCACGAAGGUAAUGUGUUCUGAACACAUAACAGUAAAAUAUUUACUAUAGAGAAUUCAAAAUUCAAAUUUAAAUACGUGCUAUUUAUAUCAUAUUUAGAUCCUUAUGUAGGGUUAAUUUAUAUUAAUUAAUUAGAUUAAUUAAUUAUUUUCACUGUAAAAUUAUAAUUUUAAAAAAUUUUAAAAUUAUCAUUUUACCCCUGCACCAUUUUUUCCACAUAACUUGC
rnacentral:lncRNA from 1 species